rnacentral:rRNA from 1 species
AACGAACGCUGGCGGCGUGCCUAACACAUGCAAGUCGUACGGGAAAGUGGGCUUCGGCCCGCGAGUAGAGUGGCAGACGGGUGAGUAACACGUGGGUAACCUACCCGGAGGUGGGGGAUAACCUUCCGAAAGGAGGGCUAAUACCGCAUGACAUCUCAGGGGCCUCGGCCCCGGAGAGCAAAGCUAGCCUCUACAUGUAAGCUAGCGCCACCGGAUGGGGCCCGCGGCCCAUUAGCUAGUUGGNGGGGUAACGGCCCACCAAGGCGACGAUGGGUAGCCGGCCUGAGAGGGUGUCCGGCCACACUGGAACUGAGACACGGUCCAGACUCCUACGGGAGGCAGCAGUGAGGAAUCUUGCGCAAUGGGCGAAAGCCUGACGCAGCGACGCCGCGUGGAGGACGAAGGUCUUCGGAUCGUAAACUCCUGUCAAGUGGGAAGAAUGCCGACGGGAUGAAUAAGCCCGACGGUUGACGGUACCACUGGAGGAAGCCCCGGCUAACUCCGUGCCAGCAGCCGCCGUAA